rnacentral:rRNA from 1 species
GGUCAGGAUGAUUAUUGGGCCUAAAGCAUCCGUAGCCGGCUCUGUAAGUUUUCGGUUAAAUCUGUACGCUUAACGUACAGGCUGCCGGGAAUACUGCAGAGCUAGGUAGUGGGAGAGGUAGACGGUACUCGGUAGGAAGGGGUAAAAUCCUUUGAUCUAUUGAUGACCACCUGUGGCGAAGGCGGUCUACCAGAACACGUACGACGGUGAGGGAUGAAAGCUGGGGGAGCAAACCGGAUUAGAUACCCGGGUAGUCCCAGCUGUAAACUAUGCAAACUCAGUGAUGCAUUGGCUUGUGGCCAAUGCAGUGCUGCAGGGAAGCCGUUAAGUUUGCCGCCUGGGAAGUACGUACGCAAGUAUGAAACUUAAAGGAAUUGGCGGGGGAGCACCACAAGGGGUGAGGCCUGCGGUUCAAUUGGAGUCAACGCCAGAAAUCUUACCCGGAGAGACAGCAGAAUGAAGGUCAAGCUGAAGACUUUACCAGACAAGCUGAGAGGUGGUGCAUGGCCGUCGCCAGCUCGUGCCGUGAGAUGUCCUGUUAAGUCAGGUAACGAGCGAGAUCCCUGCCUCUAGUUGCCACCAUUACUCUCAGGAGUAGUGGGGCGAAUUAGCGGGACCGCCGCAGUUAAUGCGGAGGAAGGAAGGGGCCACGGCAGGUCAGUAUGCCCCGAAACUCUGGGGCCACACGCGGGCUGCAAUGGUAACGACAAUGGGUUUCGAAUUCGAAAGGAUGAGGUAAUCCUCAAACGUUACCACAGUUAUGACUGAGGGCUGCAACUCGCCCUCACGAAUAUGGAAUCCCUAGUAACUGCGUGUCACUAUCGCGCGGUGAAUACGUCCCUGCUCAA